GGAGCACGCCGCGUGAGUGAUGAAGGUUUUCGGAUCGUAAAGCUCUGUUGUUAGGGAAGAACAAGUACCGUUCGAAUAGGGCGGUACCUUGACGGUACCUAACCAGAAAGCCACGGCUAACUACGUGCCAGCAGCCGCGGUAAUACGUAGGUGGCAAGCGUUGUCCGGAAUUAUUGGGCGUAAAGGGCUCGCAGGCGGUUUCUUAAGUCUGAUGUGAAAGCCCCCGGCUCAACCGGGGAGGGUCAUUGGAAACUGGGGAACUUGAGUGCAGAAGAGGAGAGUGGAAUUCCACGUGUAGCGGUGAAAUGCGUAGAGAUGUGGAGGAACACCAGUGGCGAAGGCGACUCUCUGGUCUGUAACUGACGCUGAGGAGCGAAAGCGUGGGGAGCGAACAGGAUUAGAUACCCUGGUAGUCCACGCCGUAAACGAUGAGUGCUAAGUGUUAGGGGGUUUCCGCCCCUUAGUGCUGCAGCUAACGCAUUAAGCACUCCGCCUGGGGAGA
rnacentral:rRNA from 1 species